GUCCACGCCCUAAACGAUGUCAACUGGUUGUUGGGAGGGUUUCUUCUCAGUAACGAAGCUAACGCGUGAAGUUGACCGCCUGGGGAGGUACGGCCGCAAGGUUGAAACUACAAAGGAAAUUGACGGGGACCCGGCCACAAGCGGUGGAUGAUGUGGUUUAAUUUCGAUGCAACGCGAAAAACCUUAACCUACCCUUGACAUGUCUGAAAUCCUGGAGAGAUUCGGGAGUGCUCGAAAGAGAAUCAGAACACAGGUGCUGCAUGGCCGUCGU
rnacentral:rRNA from 1 species